AUUGAACGCUGGCGGCAGGCCUACCACAUGCAAGUCGAGCGGGGCGGCGGACGGGUAGGUAAUGCCUAUGUAUCGGCCUGGUGGAGGGGGAUAACGACCGGAAGCGGGCGCUAAUACCGCCUACUAUCACAGGAGCGUAGGUCGGAUUAGCUAGUUGGUGGGGUAAGGGCCUACCAAGGCGACGAUCCCUAACUGGUCUGAGGGGAUGAUCAGGCACACUGGAACUGAGACACGGUCCAGCCUCCUACGGGAGGCAGCAGUGGGGAAUAUUGGACAAUGGGCGAAAGCCUGAUCCAGCCAUGCCGCGUGUGGGAAGAAGGUCUUCGGAUUGUAAAGUACUUUAAGUGGGGAGGCGUUACCAACAGAAUAAGCACCGGCUAACUUCGUGCCAGCAGCCGCGGUAAUUC
rnacentral:rRNA from 1 species